AUGUGCUCCACCAGGAUGAUUCCUCUGACAGUGCUAUUGCUUUCAACCUUCAUGGGUAAGAGUACUGGAAGCCCUAUUGCUCCAGACACUGUAGAGAAGUAUGUUACAGAAGGAGAACAUGUUCAACUCUCCUGCAGGUACAAUGGAACUGCUUAUGGUCUGCACUGGUAUCGCCAGUUCUCCCAGUCUGUGCCAGAGUUUCUCAUUCUGGAUUAUCAAGGUGUUAUAACGAACGCAACUCCUCCAGUUCCUGGGGUAUCAAUCAGACAUGACAAGACAGCAAAGCAAGUUUCUCUGAAUAUCUCAUCUGCUGAAGUCUCAGACUCUGCUGUAUACUACUGUGCCAUGGAGCCCACAGUGUCAGGAAACCCAGCUGCACUCAACAAAAACCCUCACAGCCAAGAUGAAUGGGAAUAG